rnacentral:rRNA from 1 species
UACGGAGGGAGCUAGCGUUGUUCGGAAUUACUGGGCGUAAAGCGCACGUAGGCGGCUUUGUAAGUUAGAGGUGAAAGCCCGGGGCUCAACUCCGGAACUGCCUUUAAGACUGCAUCGCUUGAAUCCAGGAGAGGUGAGUGGAAUUCCGAGUGUAGAGGUGAAAUUCGUAGAUAUUCGGAAGAACACCAGUGGCGAAGGCGACUCACUGGACAUGUAUUGACGCUGAGGUGCGAAAGCGUGGGGAGCAAACAGG